AACGAACGCUGGCGGCAUGCCUAACACAUGCAAGUCGAACGAGACCUUCGGGUCUAGUGGCGCACGGGUGCGUAACGCGUGGGAACCUGCCCUUAGGUUCGGAAUACCUCCCCGAAAGGGGUGCUAAUACCGGAUAGUGUCUUCGGACCAAAGAUUUAUCGCCUUUGGAUGGGCCCGCGUUGGCUUCGCUAGUUGGUAGGGUAAAAGCCUACCAAGGCGACGAUCCAUAGCUGGUCUGAGAGGAUGAUCAGCCACACUGGGACUGAGACACGGCCCAGACUCCUACGCGAGGCAGCAGUGUGGAAUAUUAGACGCUGGGCGAAAGCCUGAUCCAGCCAUGCCGCGUGUGUGAUGAAGGCCUUAGGGUUGUAAAGCUCUUUUACCCGGGAUGAUAAUGACAGUACCGGGAGAAUAAGCUCCGGCUAACUACGUG
rnacentral:rRNA from 1 species